AUUUCACGCUGGCGGCAGGCCUAACACAUGCAAGUCGAACGAGUGGCGGACGGGUGAGUAAUGUCUGGGAAACUGCCUGAUGGAGGGGGAUAACUACUGGAAACGGUAGAUAAUACCGAAUACAAUCGGAUGUGCCCAGAUGGGAUUAGCUAGUAGGUGGGGAAAAGGCUCACCUAGGAGACGAGCCCUAGCUGGUCUGAGAGGAUGACCAGCCACACUGGAACUGCGACACGUUCCAGACUCCUACGGUAGGCAGCAGUGGGGAAUAUUGCACAAUUGGCGCAAGCCUGAUGCUGCCAUGCCGCGUGUAUGAAGAAGGCCUUCGGGUUGUAAUGUACUUUCAGCGGGGAGGCGUUACCCGCAGAAGAAGCACCGGCUAACUCCGUGCCAGCAGCCGCGGUAAUUC
rnacentral:rRNA from 1 species